rnacentral:rRNA from 1 species
GAUGAACGCUGGCGGCGUGCCUAAUACAUGCAAGUCGAGCGAACAGACGAGGAGCUUGCUCCUCUGACGUUAGCGGCGGACGGGUGAGUAACACGUGGAUAACCUACCUAUAAGACUGGGAUAACUUCGGGAAACCGGAGCUAAUACCGGAUAAUAUAUUGAACCGCAUGGUUCAAUAGUGAAAGACGAUUUUGCUGUCACUUAUAGAUGGAUCCGCGCCGCAUUAGCUAGUUGGUAAGGUAACGGCUUACCAAGGCAACGAUGCGUAGCCGACCUGAGAGGGUGAUCGGCCACACUGGAGCUGAGACACGGUCCAGACUCCUACGGGAGGCAGCAGUAGGGAAUCUGCCGCAAUGGGCGAAAGCCUGACGGAGCAACGCCGCGUGAGUUAUGAAGGUCUUCGGAUCGUAAAACUCUGUUAUGAGGGAAGAACAAAUGUGUAAGUAACUAUGCACGUCUUGACGGUACCUAAUCAGAAAGCCACGGCUAACUACGUG